AGAGUACGUGAAACCGUUCAGGGGUAAACCUGAGAAACCCGAAAGGUCGAAAGGGGAGAUUCAGCGUGUCUCGAUUGCGGCGCUGGAAAGUCGUGCGACGGAAGACGUACGCGUCAUCCGCACCUUCAGUCCUCCGAACCGUAGUCGAACGCGUGCACUUCUCCCCCUGUAGGACGUCGCGAUCCGUUGGGUGCCGGCCUAAGGCCCGCAGUGGAGCCCGUUCGGACGGUUCGCCGUUCCGGACGAACCUGCGGUGUUUCCCGGUCGGCUCGCUCGACGGUAUACAGAUGGCGCGGGGCCGCUACACAUUAGUUAGCGUCCGACCGGCGGCAAGCGCGCUCGUCGUGACGGUGAUCGGACCUGGUGCCGGUCCUGUCCCCGAGUGGCUGUUCGCUGCCGUGUUCUCGGACAGACCUCGUCGAAACGCCGAUCUGCGACGCUAUAGCUUUGGGUACUUUCAGGACCCGUCUUG
rnacentral:rRNA from 1 species